UACGGAGGGUGCAAGCGUUGUCCGGAUUUAUUGGGUGUAAAGGGCGUGUAGGCGGAGAAAUGUGUCGGGAGUGAAAUCGUGCGGCUUAACCGUAUCAAUUGCUUCCGAAACUGUUUCCCUUGAGUGCGAGAGGGGCAGAUGGAAUUCCUGGUGUAGCGGUGGAAUGCGUAGAUAUCAGGAAGAACACCGUUGGCGAAGGCGGUCUGCUGGCUCGUUUCUGACGCUGAGGCGCGAAAGUGUGGGGAGCAAACAGG
rnacentral:rRNA from 1 species